GAGAGAGAGAGAGAGAGAGAGAGAGAGAGAGAGAGAGAGAGAGAGAGAGAAAACGAUAAAAUUUUGUUACAUCUUUUUAAGAAGGAUUAAAAGAUCGAACAAUGAAAUGAUUAACAAUUUUGUUCUUCUUCUAAUACAUAUAUUCAUUCCAUUAAGAAGCUGCGACACGUGGGAACAAGAUAUCUGUCACAACUAAGGUUUCUCGUGCAAUGUAUAUACAUUUACAUUCAUAAUGAAAAAAAAAAAGAAGGA